rnacentral:rRNA from 1 species
GGCUCAGGAUGAACGCUAGCGGCAGGCUUAACACAUGCAAGUCGAGGGGCAGCACGGGUAGCAAUACCUGGUGGCGACCGGCAAACGGGUGCGGAACACGUACGCAAUCUACCUUUGUCUGGGGUAUAGCCCGAAGAAAUUCGGAUUAACCCCCCAUAAGAUAUUAGAGUGGCAUCACUUAGAUAUUAAAUCUCCGGAGGACAGAGAUGAGCGUGCGUCCCAUUAGCUAGUUGGUAGGGUAACGGCCUACCAAGGCGACGAUGGGUAGCUGGUGUGAGAGCACGACCAGCCACACGGGCACUGAGACACGGGCCCGACUCCUACGGGAGGCAGCAGUGAGGAAUAUUGGUCAAUGGACGCAAGUCUGAACCAGCCAUGCCGCGUGAAGGAUGAAGGCCUUCUGGGUUGUAAACUUCUUUUAUCGGGGAAGAAAACUAUGGUUUCUACUAUAGCCGACGGUACCCGAGGAAUAAGCACCGGCUAACUCCGUGCCAGCAGCCGCGGUAAUACGGAGGGUGCAAGCGUUAUCCGGAUUCACUGGGUUUAAAGGGUGUGUAGGCGGGCUGUUAAGUCAGUGGUGAAAUCUCCGGGCUCAACCCGGAAACUGCCAUUGAUACUAUCAGUCUUGAAUAUUGUUGAGGUGGGCGGAAUAUGUCAUGUAGCGGUGAAAUGCAUAGAGAUGACAUAGAACGCCGAUUGCGAAGGCAGCUCACUAAGCAUGUAUUGACGCUGAGGCACGAAAGCGUGGGGAUCAAACAGGAUUAGAUACCCUGGUAGUCCACGCCCUAAACGAUGAUUACUCGACAUAUGCGAUACACAGUAUGUGUCUGAGCGAAAGCAUUAAGUAAUCCACCUGGGA